rnacentral:lncRNA from 1 species
UUCCGAUGUCCGGCUUCUGGCACGCAGACGCGGUCUGCGGGGUGCGCACUUCCCACCGCCGGUAGAACGCCGUGACGGACGCGGGUCAAAGGG